CUGGGAGCUCGCAGAAGGGUCCCGGCACCCUGGGGGUGCCGGGGCCCCUCCACUGAGCAGCGGAAGUCGAGGGCCAUGGACGUUGCCAGGCUUCGGAACAGUCGUCCUUACAGUCUUCCCCCCUUUCCACGCCCUCUCCUCACCAUCACCAAACGCGGAAAGGGGGAAGCCCAGGACUGCAUUCCUGCUCCCAUUUCGUGGAAGGGCGUCAUGAAGCCCAGAGGGGAGCAGUAACCUGCCCGAGGUCAUACAGAAUCAGUACCAGUGCCAGAAACCCAGGUCUCCUACCUCGAAGGCCUGUGCAGCCUGAGUCUGAAGCCUUUCCGGGACCUCAAGAAGCCCAACUAGGCCUUGCCCUGGGGACAGAAUGUUUCCGUUGAUUUAUCGAGAAGAGCUGUCGGCUCAGAGGGCGGGAAUCCAUCUAAGGCAGGUAUUGAACUUGGAGCCUAUGUUCCUGACAUGAAGCCUUGAGGAUAGGCCCAAAUCCCCUUGUUGUAUUGUUCAUUCACACCUUUCACCGUAUCUGAUGCCGAAAGUUCCGGUGCACUUGGAAGAAGGUAGAGGACUCACGCUUCCUGAUUUCAAAACACAGCUACAGUAAUCGAGGCAGUGAAGUAUGGGUAUGAGGAUAGAUAUGCAGACAAUGGGAUAAAACUGAGAGUCCAAAUAUAAACCCUUCCACCUACGACCAAUUAAUUUUCAACAAGAGUGACAACGCAAUUUAACGAGGAACCGAUAAUCUUUUCAACAAAUCUUUUCAUGCACAACUGGAUGUCACUCUGGGACAAAUGGAUUUCCUUGUGCAGAAGAAUGAGGCUGGACCCCUACCUCACACUGUGUACAGAAAUUAACUCAAAACAGACCAGACUGACACGUAAGAGCUAAAGGUACAAAACACUCAUCAGAAAAUGUAGGCAUAAACUGUGACCAUCGAUUAAGUAAU